UGCAAGUCGAACGGGUUCAGAUGUCAGACAAAGGACAUUAUGAUUGCAUCUGCAAUCUGUUGUCUGUUGUCUGGUGUCUGAACUAGUGGCGGACGGGUGAGUAACGCGUGAGCAACCUGCCUUACAGAGGGGGAUAACAUUCGGAAACGGAUGCUAAUACCGCAUAACAUAUAUUUACGGCAUCGUAGGUAUAUCAAAGGAGCAAUCCGCUGUAAGAUGGGCUCGCGUCCGAUUAGAUAGUUGGUGAGGUAACGGCUCACCAAGUCUGCGAUCGGUAGCCGGACUGAGAGGUUGAACGGCCACAUUGGGACUGAGACACGGCCCAGACUCCUACGGGAGGCAGCAGUGGGGGAUAUUGCACAAUGGGCGAAAGCCUGAUGCAGCAACGCCGCGUGAGGGAAGACGGUCUUCGGAUUGUAAACCUUUAACUUUGGAGAAGAAAAGAAUGACGGUAUCCAAAGGAGCAGCCACGGCUAACUUACGUGCCAGCAGCCGCGGUAAUACGUAGGUGGCAAGCGUUGUCCGGAAUUACUGGGUGUAAGGGGAGCGCAGGCGGGGAGACAAGUCAGCUGUGAAAUGCAUAGGCUUAACCUAUGAAUUGCAGUUGAAACUGUUUUUCUUGAGUGGAGUAGAGGUAGACGGAAUUCCGAGUGUAGCGGUGAAAUGCGUAGAUAUUCGGAGGAACACCAGUGGCGAAGGCGGUCUACUGGGCUCUAACUGACGCUGAGGCUCGAAAGUGUGGGGAGCAAACAGGAUUAGAUACCCUGGUAGUCCACACUGUAAACGAUGAUUGCUAGGUGUGGGGGGGUCUGACCCCUUCCGUGCCGGAGUUAACGCAAUAAGCAAUCCACCUGGGGAGUACGACCGCAAGGUUGAAACUCAAAGGGAAUUGACGGG
rnacentral:rRNA from 1 species